GUGCUUGCUUUGGCAGCACGUAGACUACAGUUGGAAUGAUACAGAGAAGAUUAGCGUGGCCCGUGCACAAGGAUGACAGGCAAAUUCACGAAGCGUUCAUUAACAAA